CAGCAGCAGCCGCGGGAAUACAGAGGGUGCGAGCGUUAAUCGGAUUUACUGGGCGUAAAGCGUGCGUAGGCGGCUAAUUGAGUCGGAUGUGAAAUCCCCGAGCUUAACUUGGGAAUUGCAUUCGAUACUGGUUAGCUAGAGUGUGGGAGAGGAUGGUAGAAUUCCAGGUGUAGCGGUGAAAUGCGUAGAGAUCUGGAGGAAUACCGAUGGCGAAGGCAGCCAUCUGGCCUAACACUGACGCUGAGGUACGAAAGCAUGGGGAGCAAACAGGAUUAGAGACCCCAGUAGUCCCUGUCUCUUAUAC
rnacentral:rRNA from 1 species